UUUACCGCGAGAAGGGGAGGAGGGUCGCUUGGCCACGCGCUCGCGCAGCCCGCAAUAUUUUGUGGGCGAGUGUACAAGUUCUACCGUAGAACGCUAAGGUGAAGCCAUCAGCGACUUCGUCGUGGAACUCACGAUGAUUUCAGCCCCAUGCAAUUUCGGUACGUUUCUUGAAGAGGCGAUUCGGGACCGCCUCAUUGUGGCACUACACAACGCCGCCAUCCGCUGCAAGCACCUUGCGGCCGGACCAGGACCAGGACCUGACCUUCGAAAAGCCCUACAGCCGAGUGUUGGUGGUGGAAGCAGCGCAAUGAGCAAGAAAGGGUGCAGCAACGACGCAGCAGGCAGCACCGGUGCCACUGGAAACGUCAACUGGCAACGAGAAGCCUGCAGCACCAGGCUCGUCGCCGCCGUGGCCUUUUCGGCUUCGUGCAGUCGACGCGUCCUUUUUCUCUGGCGGUGCCCACCAAGGUGCGUACGUGCACCCACCGAGCCGACCGUUGCGUGCAGCCUGAGCAAUCUGGGCAGCCAGGUGCGGUGCUCUCUCGACCAUCGCCUUCGAACCACUGCGCGCCUGGAAGGUGGACGUUUCCUAAGGUUCUCGCUCACUG